ACACACACACACACACACACACAUAUACACUGUGCAGUAGGCCAGGUGCAGCAGUGUGUCCGUCGCCACGGCCAUGUUUGUGUGCAUAAAGUGUUGUGUGUAUCUACCUGCUACACUAAUGAUCUUCAGCUGUAAGCAACACACACAAAUACACUCACACACGGUGGAGAGAAGGACGGGCGAGACGAACAAACAGGGGAACGCGCGAGACAAAGGAAGACACGGUAAGGAAAAGAUGAAAUGCGCGAUGCAGGUGUCAGACACCAAACGAAAUACAGGUACCGACGGAAUUAACACGAGGAGAAAGACACGAAGGAGGAAGCUGAGAGGAGGAGGAAUAAAAGGCGAGGAUGAGGAAGGGCAACGAAGAGCGAUAUAGGAAAGGUGAGGAGGGAGGCACAAAGGAGGAGAGGAAGAGGAGGGAGACAUGUUGGCAUCUGUCCAAACGACAGCCUCUCCCUCUCCUCCGUUCUGGUUUGAAUACCGCCGCAUGUCAUUAGAGCCGCCAAUCAACAGCUGCCGGCGCUCUGCUGCAGCGUGCAGCUCCAUGCAGGAGGACAGCUGCAGGCCGACGCACAAUCCCUGCACGCUGUGCGCUUUAAUGGGUCCCGCCCACAGGACCCCCCAUGAGGUCAGCCCACCACAAUCACCAUACAAUCGCUCGUCCUGAAUGGGGGGUUUUACUUCUGCAGGUCUACUUUAACCUGGGGAUUAUUUCUGUUUGGGUGUUUUUAAUCACUGUGAAGCACUUUGUCAACUCUUCCCACUGAAAGCCUGUGAAGAGAAGAGGCACAUACCUGCAGGUCGGACACGUUUCACCAAUAAGGACAGCGAGUGUAAAAAUGGACAUUAAGGUAAGAGGUGGAGAACUGGUGAAAACGGCCGCUAACUGGAUUUGAUAUAAUAUAAUAUUUCAUUUUGGCCGCCGUCUUGGACGUUACUCCUAGAAAGAAAGAAAGAAAGAAAGUCUGACCUCAGUGAGUUAGAUGUAAUAUAGAGGAGGUAUAAACUGGGGCUAACGGGAUAUAAAUCAUAUAAUGAUACGGCAGAUGAAAUCCAGCAUUCUGAUUGGUUGAGAGUAUUGAGCAACAAUGUUGCUGUUCACAUUGACGUAUCACGGCGCACUCAAGCAGCAGGUUAGGUUUUGUGUGAACGUUCGGUGACGAAAAAACCCCGUAAAUGCCACAAAUGAUCAGUUUGAUCGGUUUGGGGCAAUGAGAGCUUUCACAAGGUGGACGUCAUGAGCGAUGCUGUGAGAUCUUACAAAGAGGCUCAACUACUUUUCUCUGGACUACUGAAAUGAGAUACACAACUAUUUUGUGCUGAAGGCAGCGAUUUACUUACUAUUUAUAAUGUCGCUGGCAACCGUAUUAUGAAAGCAAUAAGGUACUUGAGGCAGUAAUUCUUCAGUAAUAUAGCAGUUUGAGGGUUGCUGUUACAUUAUUGGACGAUAAAGUACAGCCUCUCGUACCUUAUUGCUUAAAUAUAAAUUGUAGAUAAACCUUUAGGGACGACUUAAUGUAUCUGGAGUUUUGAACGUUGGCAGAACCUUUCACUUGACCUUUCAACUUUUAGAUAAGCGGACAUUCACACACCUGCUUCACACUUGUGUGGGGGGGUAAUAAAAUAAAGACAAAACCAUAACAUCACCUGUGGUCAGAGUUAAAUCUGAUUCUCUCAUUCAUCACAGCAACCUUUUCCAGACGGGGAAACCCAAAUGUCCAAAUACUGGGACAGGAAGAAUGUCUGUCGUCCUGGCAACCGGGUAAAUAUUUAAGGGCAGAAGGGAGUUUGUUGAACUGGUGAAGUGAUGGCUGAGGGCUCUCUCACCCUCUGCACAUCUGUCUGUCCUCAAGUUGACUCUCUGGUUGCGUUUCUUUCCCUCCCUCUCUUUGCUGACUGAGCUGUACAGUUAGCACAACCAAGCACACUAAACUUUAGUUAGUCACUUUAGAUGUCCCACCUGGUGCCCAGGUCAAGUGUCAGACUAUAUCCAAUAGUUAAUUGCAUUGAUCAUCACUGAGCUAAUCGCAUGAAUAAUAACCUCUGAUUUAAUGCGCUUCCUUUAGCUGGAAACUGCAAUGGAUUAUCCUGAAGCCUACAGGUACAUGUAUUAUGUACAUGUAUGUACUCUGAAUAUCAGACAGCGCUCACUCAGUGCUGAAGGCCACUGAUUGUUGGUGACGCCGCCUGUUAAAAACAUACCUUUCCCCAAUGGGCUGAAACAUGUGGCGGCUGGUGUUCUUUCUUGAAAAUUGCUCGAUCAAAUGUCGUUACGCUGGACACUAGCAAACACUAGCCUACUGCAGCAUUCAGCAGACACACUGCAGCAUUAUCAUCCAACUAGUUCUGUUUGAGUCCACCUGAAGAAUGGAUGUCCAACACUCACUCAUCUUUAAUCAGCUACACAAAUAUCUGGCUUUUUUGCUCGGAUACGUUCCAGACGUGAUUUGAGGCAGAUUUGGUUCCUAUGACAUUGAUCUCGCUGUAUGAGGGAUGAUUCCUGGUUUGGAUUCUUCCCUGCAGCACUGCCGUCAGUGCAUAGCUCCUACAAGAAAAGAUGACGAAGCCCAUUUCUCUCAGAGGCUUGUCCACCAUCUGACCACCCUGCUCCCCAGAGGAUGAACCCUUGAGAUCUGACUGACAGCAUCAUCCCUCUAAUGUCAGUCUAGGGAAACAUUUGUCCCCACCGCCGGUGUAUACAGGGGGGGUCACUAAUAGGCCGACUACACUGGAUCCUGGAAGCUACGUGGAUGACAGCUGAAGGGCAGAGGUCACAGAGGAUGCAAACACACACACGUCAGACUGCAGGUCUGUGAACGUGUGUGUGUGUGUGUGUGUGUGUGAAGUGGGUGGUGGUGAGGAAUCGAGAGGAGAAGGAAGUAGAAGAGGAACAAAAGAAGAAUAAACAAAGAACAAUUCCAUUCUUGCUCCUUUUGUAUUUCUCCAAUGAGAAUUUAAAUGAAAAUCAAUAAAACAAAAGCAAGUAGGAUAGAUGGACAUUUGAGAUAAAGAAAGAAUAGAGAGAUCUGGCCAUGUGGCUACAGAAGCACACAAACACAUCUCUCCUUUUUAUUGAAAUGAAAAGCCUUGUGCUGUCACAAUCGGUUGGUGGGUGGCAGUUUUAAAACUCGAUCUCUGCGUCGCCAUCAUGGAUUACGGCCGCUGCCAUGUUGUUUAUGGCAACCAAUGAACAAAAGUUACCAUAGUUGGAAUGCAAAGGAUGCAGGGACCUGUCAAUCACAGUAUCCCGCCCAAACACAUAAGCUGCUGUAUGGUCUUAAUUUACUAAAUGAUCAUCAUGCUGUAAGUAGAGAUUGAGACCAUUGCAACUCAUGUUCACAGACUAAAUCAGACUUCUAUUUGCACCCGGAUCAGUCGCCUCCGGCUUGACACGAGAGGUAGUGCAGGUUAUAAGUUCCUGGGUUUAUUAGGAGCUGGUUGUGAUAGAACAGGAAAGGGCUACUUUAACUGUCCCCAACACUACUAACCUGCCCAAACCAGCCCGAGCUGGAGCGACCUCGCAGUCACAAGCCUUUCAAACUAACAUCAAAUGAUGUUUUUGGCACCAAUAAUGCUGAAACAGAGGCCCAUUUCUUUAAUGAAAGCAUAACCAUCCAUCCAUCCGUCCUCAAACCGCUUCACACAGGGUUGUUGGAGAGUCAGUCCCAGGGAACUUGGAUUGGUCCCCAGCCAAUCACAGCAUGUUUUAAUUGAGAUUGACUUUGAUCUCACAUGACGUGCAUCCAUGAAAUGUUGGGGAACAUUUACUGCUUGGGCUCACGACUGAACGGGAGCAGUGCUCAGAGAAAUCUGAAUUAUUUCAUUUAAAGCGCCUCGAACUGGCCACAUUUCAUGGUGCAGCUGUGUUUUAGACGUGAUCCCUAAUAAUGUAGGACAUAUGUAGCACAUAAAGCGUGUCACAACCAUCACAAGACACCGCAGAGGAAACAUGUUUACAGUCCAGAGAGAAAAAACAGAAAUGCUUUAAUAGUCCUACAUAAAAACAGGCUUUAUUAAUGCUGUCUGUUCUAAGGUUGUGUGUGUGUGUGUGUGUGUGUGUGUGCGUGUGUGUGUGUGCGCGUGUGUGUGAGUUCACGUCCGCCUGGCCAACUGUUGACUGCAAUCUGCUAUUCUGCAAAUCCAAAAGGUCAGAGGUCGCGCCAGUCAGAGCCACCACUUUUGCUAAUCAAAUGAAUGAGAAUUAAUUCUAUAGAGUUAAUAUUUGAAUGAAAUGUAAUGAACCGAGGCCCGAGUAGGGGAACAAUCUGGAAUCAUCUCUGUGGAGGAUUAAAGCUUUCACGCUGAUUGCGUGCAGGAGUGACGGGUCACGAGGAGCUCACACGAGGUCAGAGGGACGGAGACGCCCUUUGGCCUGUUUGGAUGGAAGAAAGUCGUUUUUAUUGCCCUCCCAGUAGAGUCAAAUGGACCACACAGCAGGGUGAGCUUCGGCCUGCUGCUCCCACAGAGCCCUCCUCAUUUUAGUUUUACCACUUUAACCAUUUCCCACCUUGUUUUCACUUCAGAAAAGUUAAGUGGAACAUCUUGGUUGCCAUAAAAGUACGUUAUUCAGUGUUUCAGAGUUUCAGAGUUUUACUUCGCUCUUUGACUUCAACGGUUGUAAUCGAGAGCUCGUUUCUAUCGAUUUGGACAGAGAAUUGAAAUCGUCACAGUCCAAAUAAAAGCUCUGGAGAACUUUUUGUGAUCCAACUACCCUCACGUCUUUUGACAGUCACACCAUAUCUACUUUUAGAUGAACCUUUCUGAAGUAAAUGAGUGGACACACUGUGGUCGUCUCCACUAGUAGAAACUGUUGGCGGCAAAAUCCCCAGAAAAAAUCCCAAACUGCAGGAGACAGUUUUCCAUCUCGCACCAGUGGUUGGAGGCGUAGCUCAGUCAACACACUCCUGGUUCAUCUCACUAGACAGCUGAAAAAGUCACGAGUCAUGAUAGUGGACAUUUGAAUGUGGCAUCUAACAGCACAUCUAUUUCCCUUGUGUGAACCGUCAAAAGAAACCAGACUAGAUGGAUCUUUCUGUAAAGGCAGAAUCUCUUUGUCGAUGGUCGGCUGGGUCUCUGACGCUGCCUGAAACGUUUGCGUCUCUUCCUCUCCUUCCUUUUCUCUCUCUGAUGGACUAAUUAUUGUCGUUGUUCUGCCGCUCGCGCUGCUCGCUGCCAAAUGGAAUUAAAAACCAAUUAUUGAUAAAUGAAGAGUGGCUUUAGCUCUGUGUGUGUGUGUGUGUGUGGGGGGGGGGGGGGUCUAUGUCUGGAACCCUGCCUAGACCAGAGUACUGCAUCUGUCAUCCAAACGCCGUGACAACCACUCAUGUGUGCCGUUGCAUCCUGCGCAUUCAACACACACAUCUGCACCGCAAUGUCUUCGCUAAGAGUGUGUGCGUCAACUAUGUCCGCCUGGGUGUGUGCUCUCGUGUGUGUGUGUGUGUGAUGUACAUCUGUGACAUUUUAGCACGUGCACAUGAACCUGUUUGCAGGUGUGUGUGCAGGUUUGUGUUCCUCAGCUGCAGCUUUGCUGCAUUCUCGUGACAGAUUGACGUGUGCACAGAUGGCGGAUGAUGAACAUAUGAAUUUCACUUCACACUUUACAUGUUGACAUGACAACAGUUUUAAAACACAUAUGAGAGCAAUAAGAAUAAGGUCAAAUGAUUGACUGGUCCGUGUGGAUGAAGUACUUUCAUCAGUGAAUACGGACAGAAGAAAUAAAUGAGAUUGCACAUCCAUCCUGGAGGAAGCAUCCCUCCUCCGUAAGGUUUCUCCUUAUGAGUUGAGUGUCUAACAUUAGUGGUUUUAUGCUGCAAAGGUUGUAAAAAAAUGUGUGACUGUAUAAAUAACUUUACACAACACAAAGAAACCUUUAAGAAAAGGUUGCAUCAAUGAAGGGGGAAAUAAAUAGGCAAGCGCCAGUGAUGCAGAACCUGUUGGAGCAGAAAGGUUACAGGAUUUGGAUUAAAAUGCGUCUGUUUGUUUCCUCGCUUUCCCACCAGAGGUAAGUAGGUGAGUGUCACAGUCACCUGGGUGGAAGUCCUGUGUUUGUUUCAUACGUACAUGGUGAAUUCCCAUUUUUCUAAGUUAUCCCGACAGCAAACCACUGUUGCGUUGUUGCAAGAAACAUAGUUACAUAGAUACUAUUAUGUAAAAGAUUCCUGGUCCAACGUUUUCCCACCGUAGCAAAGACAUGAUCCUACUCUAUCUGAUAGGAUAAAAUGUCAGAGUGAGCCAAUCUAUCUGAUGCUUCACCCUAACCAAUAAGAGCAAUGAGAAGAAAGCAGCAGAUUAGUGGAGGAAGCCUGUUAAUAAUGGGGAUCUUCUGAUGACAUCAUGCUGCAGCUGUCAAUGACACAAAGUGUCCGUUUGAAAUCAGAAUUUGCAGCUGACUACGGAAUACACUUUUGCGGGUUUUUGGGGUUAAUAAGACUGAAAGUUUUGACUUGGGUUUCAUGCAGGACACUAACUGCCGUCUGCUGGAUGAAAGUCCUGUGUUUGUUGGACCCAUAUGCAUCCAUCCAACCGGACCCCUUUACGCUGACUGUUGUUCUGCAUCCAAAACAACUAAAUGUGUUUCCCAUUGAAUGAUCCCAACGGAGUUUUGUUGUGAGGGACGAGGAUGUUGAACUGAGUGGCGGGUGAACAAAACAGGCGUGAAGCUCAGCAGGAGAUAAAAUAUCAUUUUGUUGGGAACGGCCUUACGCGGGCGCCGUUUUGUUGGCACGGCGUAAGAUAAUGUGGUGGUUAAUAGCUAGUGUGAAAUGAAAUCAUUGACAUCAAUAGAAUUAUUAAUAAUCACUAAGAUAAUUCACUGAAUAAAUAUAUAACGAGGCACCACCCUAAAAAGGGACUAAUAACCAAACUAUAAAUCAAGUCUUAUAAUUGAUAUUUAUUCAUUAAGAGCGAGGAAUUGAAUGUUGGAGUUUGUACACUGGCUGUGUUUCCAACCAGCAUCACAGUACACAAAGAAAUCACAGAGAACUGCUCCUUAAAGUUUAUUAACUUCCAAUAAUACUAAUCAGAUCAAUACCAUUUGAAAUCAACAAAAGCUACUGUACCUAAUAAUAUCCUAAUAUCUAUACAACAAAUAAAAACAUUCCUCCAUGCAUGUGGAGGUGUGUGUGUGUGUGUGUGUGUGUGUGUGUGAGAGAGAGCUCAGGAAGGGAGCUAGCUGGACGCUAAGCUACCGACCACAUGGCUGAGGUGUGUUUUACACCGCGGGAAGGAAGAAGAAGAAAAAGUCAAAGCAAAGCAGAUCUUAUUUGAACAGUGGAACAGUAGUGGUUCAUAAGCAAACACAACUAAACAAUACAGUAAACACCAACAAAAAAUAACGACACAUGCUAAUCUAGCUUCUGCCUUACUGUGCGUUGACGGGGUUUCUGCGUUUCCUCGAGUUUCGUUUAUCGAUGGAUGGAUCAAUCGGGGAUUAAAGGGGACUGUUGGGUUUCUUGGUGGCACAAAAGCUGUUGGUGCUCUUAUGUGCUCUUUACGCAAGUUGUAUCCAAGGGGGUAGAAGACGUUUUCCUUCUUGGAGAGCUGCUUGGGUCGGAAGUGAAGGCUGGGGCAGCCGGACGUCUCCGGAGCAGCUAGAAGAUGGUUUGGGUUGGAGAAGCCUGAAUCCUUCAUCCUGAGGCCAGUCCAGAAAGUUGAUUUGAAGAGGCUGUGUUGUGCUGCUUGCGCUGGCGAAGGCCAGUUCGGAUCUCACAGGUAACACCAGGGGGACCCCUGUGGUGUCUGUGGCUUGGCCAAUCAGAUCUCAGGGCUGUUUCACCCAGAGAGAGAUCACACCUGGUGUGAAGGCACAUUCCGUUUGGGGUUUUAUGUCCUGCAGCAGAACACUGCAUCCAUAAGUCAGCCUUGGUCUUGUGGUGGAGCCCAACACUUUACAGCUCUACAAGUGUUCUGGUGACUUUCAGGGACACGACCAGGGGCUUAUUUGUAUUUCCUUGCCUUUUCUUUCAUUAGGUAACACUCAUUUCCUCGGGUUACGUCUUCUCCAGUAAACACAAAACAACAUCUAAAUGAGAAGGGACAUACAUUCGACAUAAAACAGUCACUAAAUAUGUUCUUGGUGAAAUAAUGAUGACGCCUUAUUAAAAUGAUUCAUUCACAGACAAAAAUAGACAGAUACACAUCCACACACUCAUCCCUACAUGCAUGCAGUUUGAAUGAAUGAAUACGCAGUAAAUUCACCUGAUGCUUUCUGUGAGGACCAGGCUAUUUUUAAGGGACUAUAUGGGGUUUCCACGUGAAAAUCCUUAUAUACACAUGUGUGUAUAUAUAUACACAUAUGUGUGUGUUGUGUUAGCGGGGGGUCGAGGGACUGGAGUGUUUUUGCAGAAAAUAGUUUUGUAAUUACGUCUGCGAGGGAGGAAACUCGUUAUCGGCGUUGGCGAGUGGCCGAGGGCAAACGCUUUGAAAUACUGCUCCUCUUCAGCGCGGCAACGCCAAAAUACUGGUAAUAACUACUGAUAAACAAGGCGAGUGUAAUUGCAUCUAUUUGCAUUUUUAAAUAAGGCUGCUGAAGGAAAACAGUGACAGUGGCUGUAAGGAGCAAAAGGGGAGCUGCUUUCUUUUUUUAUUUCUGCCUCUUUUCAUUAACGAUUUUUGUUUCAGCUUUCUAAUCAUUCCUAAGGAUUAAUAUUAGCAUUGUUUCAGAGGUUAAAGCUAAGCAGUUGCUGCUGCCCUUCAAAAUGUUUAAAAUGCUUUCAAUGAUUAGAACAUGUGGUUGGUGCUUUUCAGCGGAGCAUCUACACAUCUGCUUUCAUGUAAAUAUUUACAGUGAAUUUUACCAUGGAGAACACAGGAGUACACAGGGAGUACACAGGAAGUACACAGGGAGUACACAGGAAGUACACAGAGAGUACACAGGAGUACACAGGGAGUACACAGGAGUACACGGGAGUACACAGGAAGUACACAGGGAGUACACAGGAAGUACACAGAGAGUACACAGGAGUACACGGGGAGUACACAGGAGUACACGGGGAGUACACAGGAGUACACAGGGAGUACACAGGGAGUACACGGGGAGUACACAGGAGUACACGGGGAGUACACAGGAGUACACAGGGAGUACACAGGGAGUACACGGGGAGUACACAGGAAUAUACGGGGUGUACACAGGAAGUACACAGGAGUAUACAGGGGGUACACAGGGAGUACAAAGGAGUACACAGGGAGUAUACUGGGAGUACACAGGAGUAUUCAGGGAGUACACAGGGAGUACACAGGAGUACACAGGGAGUACACAGGGAGUACACAGGAGUACACAGGGAGUACACAGGAGUACACAGGAGUACACAGGAGUACACGGGGAGUACACGGGGAGUACACAGGGAGUACACAGGAGUACACAGGGAGGAACAAGGAGGGAGGAAGGACAAGCUGAACCUGUCUACCUGCUGUGCUGUCAGCUGAUUGGGGGCGGGCUGGUUAAGUACUGGCCGGGCAGACGGCGGCACCGUUAAGCGUUAACUGUUCUCUCGCUGCGCUCAGUUGUCAUUUCAGGGCCACCAGGUGCAAAUGGUUAUAUAUUUUGCUUUUCGAUAGCAUUGACUUUGUUUGCGAAAAUGUCCAAUUUGGACAUCGAUCCAUUUGCAAGACUCCACUGUCAACGGGAGCCGGCUAGCAGCUCAGCGAGCGGCCAGGAAGGAGCACUCGCCUUAGGAGGUGCAGCAGCUCCCCAGCGGACGAGCAAGAAGCCAUUGUGGCUCAAUUUACAGAGCGUGGAGUGGUCACAGCACCGGGCCUCCCUCUGUCCCAGUAAGGCUCACAGCCGGUGGAAAGCGACUCUAUCCCUCCCCUCCACCCGCACCAGGGCGGAAAAUCAGAACCAACACAAGCUCCGCGGGCUAAGAGAAAGUAGGCUACUUCACCACCACCAGCUCCUCCGGGCCCAUCGAGGACCGGUAUCACGGCCAUCUCCACCUACACGGCACUGGUCAACUCGAUGACCACCAUCUCGCCUUCAACACCUGGUGAACACGGAGCCCAUUCCAUCUCCAUCCGGUAACUCUCGGUAUGGCAACUCAACCCCCCACAUCCACGCAGAUUCGAGCAGCGCAGCAUUCACUGGCAUCUGCAGUCCCUCAUCGUCUUUUAGGUAGGCCAUACUUUUCCAAUGUAGCUAACAUAUCGGCCCGCCUAAGGUCGAAAACCCUGCAGGACGAGACACUGAGACCCUGUCCUCUCCGGACAUACUUUACUCUGAUGUCUCUCUUAAAACACCUGAAGUCGUCAGUCGACGCAUAAACAACAUAAUCAAACCCGUCGACUCAACGCAACGUUAAGCUCCCUGAGUCAUGAGGAGCUGUCUCCUGUGAGACACCACGUGUCUCAACAGGGGAGACCUACAUCCGGAGGACACCUUGGUAACCCGAGAGACCACCUUACCGUACCGAGACAGUUCCCUAGUUAACACCUCGUCUCUGACGAACGGAGGAACGUGUGACACCGUGAUCUUAACAGCUGAUCUUGCGAGCGGUAAGACGGGAAAGAAGUGGUCGUUCACCUCGACCCCGUCUCCAUGACGAGGUCUGCGUCCUCCACGCUGCCGACAAAUAUGAGCACAGCCCCGUUCAUCCGCGCUGCCGACCAUCUCCCCCACCGCCAGGCCGCAGUCCUCCACCGAGCACGGGAAGCGCGGCGGUAUUUUGAAGCCGUGCUUCCUCGUUAGCUCCGUGAGCGCCAUGUCGUCGUGUAGCGCAAACUACCCACAAUCACCCAAACCUUUAAUGUGCACGAACACCACGAACCCUGCGCCCCACGACACGUAUAAUACACCCCAUUAACAGCAAGGAAUAACGAACGGACUAUCAGACGCUCACAAUCACGCUCAACACUCCUUCCACACACACACACACACACACACACACACACACACACACACACACAGAAGGCAGUUAUACUGUUCUACUAAUUAGACAAGUUCACUAGUUUUAUUUAAUAUACAAUUAUUGAAAUGAAAGGUAUGUCUUAAGUUACAUGAGCUACAUGACAGUCAGUGAUUAUUAUUAUUAUUAUUGUGGUGUAUUAUUGGUGUAAUGCUGCUCAUGCUUCAACUGUAAAAGAAAACAGUAAACAUCUUCCAAGAGAUGGUCAGGAUGCUCCUGUGAAGCUCCGUUUUGAUAAGUUUUGAGUUAAAAUAGUUUUGAUUAUUUAAUCAUUUGAUGAUUGUUUAUACAUUAUGGCCUAGUUUCGUCUGCCUGAUAUUAAUUAAUUAAUUCAAUUUAAUUAGUUUAUUAACAGAAAUAAAUAUAAGAUCUGAAAAAAUAUUGUACUGUGUUUUUUAUUCAAUUAUGUAAUAUUCUUUUUCAUUUCAUUGUCUUUUGUUGUGGUUUUAGCUCCUGUCCCCCACAGUGUCUGUGCACGGGCCUAUAUAUGAAGAGGCUAUAUAUAUAAAUGCUUCACCUGGUUGGGAGCAUUAGAUCCUUGCUACAAUAUACGUAUGCAAAAUAAUGCAAACACAACUUCAACCACUGUAGUAAGAGUAAAGAUACCCCAUGCUAAUUAGUCGAGAAACCAAAGCCUUCUCUAGAGUAGUUUUCCCUCAUUCUAUCAAAGUGAAACUUGACACUUAAGGCUAUUAUGUAGAUGUGGUUUUAGCCUGUUAUCUCCAUGUUUAUAGCAUUUAUAGGGCUGUUUUUCAACCUUUCAACCUUUUUGACGGCAAUCUCAAAAUUCAAACUUUUUUGUGUGUGUAAUAUUGAUACAUAUUCACCAGUAACAUAUUAACUUAUUUUUAAACAUCAUAGCAUAUGAGUUCCCCUUUUUCCCCACAGAAAAAUGUGUCCAAUUAGACAAAGUUCCAGAGUUAUUAUACGUUUUAUGUGUGGAGAAAGUUAUAUAUUAUAUAAUAAUACGGGCAGACGACAUCCAGCGUUCUGAUUGGUUGAGAGUGAGUCAUGGGGUGUGGAUUAUUCAGCGAUGAUGUACAGUUGCUGUUCACAUUGACCCGAGCGUUCCGUAUCACUGCGCACUCAAAGUAGCAGGUUAGCUUUUGCGCGACCGUUAAGCCUAGUUCAUGCUUCUGCGUUUUCAGAGAAACGCAAGAGUCCCUUGCGUGUCCCUUGCGUGUCCCUUGCGUGUCUUUUCACACCUCCUUGUGUGCGUCGACCCAUUUUUCUCGACCAGCGUCUAAAGCGACGCAGCCUCCUGCAGCACCAGGCUGUGAUUGGUCCGCUGACUACGUCCUUUACGGAGUCUCACGUCUCCGUUUUCACAGCACAAUACGGCCGUUAUUAAAAGGAAGAACGUUGACGAGAGAACGGAUCAGAUUGAAGAGCUUUUAAAUAUGAGCGCUUGUACAAGCCGUCAUUGGCGGACUAUGAGGACGCCGGAUGGCCUCUGAUUCAUGGAGGGAGAUCUCCACCAACGAGGGGAACAAAGUCGUGGAGGAAAAUACGGGACAAAUGUGUCCGUGAUGAAAAGCAGCAGUGUGGAUGCACGGGGCAAUAAAGUCUAUGAUCAAUAAAUAAAGCAACCAGCGACUUCCACACACAAAGACGUGACUCUCUAGGUCGUCUUCAACAAAACACGUGACUCCACCUGUUGUUCUGGAGGUGAAUCGCUCUGCAACACACGCACGACUUUACAACCAGGAAGUGAAACCAGUGCGUCGACGCGUAAAGACGCAGAAACACGCGCCGGCCUUUAGUUGACAUUUGCAAGGAGACCCAAUACUGUUUACAUGCAUGUACUUUUUUUCUCUGGACUACUGAAAUGAGAUACAUGUUUGGUGGCUGCAACUAUUUUGUGCUGAAGGCAGCUAUUUACUUACUAUUAAUAAUGUUGCUGGUAACUGUAUUAUAAAAGCAAUAAGGUACUUGAAGCAGUACUUUAUUUCAGUAAAUUGGCCGAUAAAGUACAGCCUCUCGUACCUUAUUGCUUAAAUAAAUGAUAAAACAAAAGAAAAAAAAGGAAAGACUCAAAGCAGAACAGAUCUUAGCACCCACAGUAAGACACGUUCUUUAAUCAUUUUCAGCAGCACGCUCUCUGAAAUUAUACUUCAAGGGAUGACGUCACUUAGAACUAAAUAUUUCAUUGGUCAAACGUUCGCAGGCCAGAAUCUGUUUUUUUCCAUUUUAAAUCAUUCCAACAUUCAGGUGUUGAUAAUGUAAUUUAUCAAUGGCUGCAUUCCAUUUAGUUGCUUCAGUUUUCAUUUCAUUGGUGAGAAUAUGCGGUACAUACAAAAAAGCAUCAACUUAUGGAUGUUGGCAGAUGCCGUUCAUUCAUCCACAUUAUUUCUCGUUGUUGCUUUCUUUGUAUCUUAUGUACUUUACUUUUACUAUUUACACUCCUCCACUCUCUUCGCUGGUACCGGUGGCUCAUCCAGUUCUAAACACUGGUGCUCAGUGCUGUAGUGGUAAAAUUAGAGGUGGGUAAACUCUGAAUUUUGUGAUCAUACAGACCUCGACGUGAUGCGAAGCAACGCAACACAAAGCGUCGCGACUCUGUUAGGCUGUCCUGGCUAUAUUGCAUUAUGUUAUCAGUAAAAGUCAUAUACAAUCAAUGACAAUGAAUACAUGUGUUAGUAGUUUGUAGUUUAUUAAAUUUAAGAAAACAGUAAAGAAAAGUAUGUCAACACAACACAACAACACAAUUGCACAUUAAGAACUAUCUACAUAUGGAGUCUCCUUUUUACAGUAGUGCCCAGAGGGCCUCCUUGUCCUCCACGUCAGGUCCUGCCUUGCACAGAGGAGCCAUGAACCCCAGAACACGUUCCUCUGUGCUUCUCCUCUCUCUAUUGGACCUGGUGUUUCUCUCCCUGUGCUCUCUGCAUCACUGCCUGUCCUCUCACUGCCUGAACUAUGUUGAAUUUAAGAGUUAACCAGUUAAGCAGCCUGUCAAUUACACUGACAACAUAAGUUAAGGAACACUCAUGUGCUACCUAUGUCAUCAUUUCUUCACAUUGAGAAAAAAUGUGUCGUUUUACCGUGCACGACCAGCGAACACAGAGCGCGCGAUUAUUACUACC
ensembl:lncRNA